AGUGAACGCUGGCGGUAGGCCUAACACAUGCAAGUCGAACGGCAGCACAGUAAGAGCUUGCUCUUACGGGUGGCGAGUGGCGGACGGGUGAGGAAUACAUCGGAAUCUACUUUUUCGUGGGGGAUAACGUAGGGAAACUUACGCUAAUACCGCAUACGACCUACGGGUGAAAGCAGGGGAUCUUCGGACCUUGCGCGAUUGAAUGAGCCGAUUUCGGAUUAGCUAGUUGGCGGGGUAAAGGCCCACCAAGGCGACGAUCCGUAGCUGGUCUGAGAGGAUGAUCAGCCACACUGGAAGUGAGACACGGUCCAGACUCCUACGGGAGGCAGCAGUGGGGAAUAUUGGACAAUGGGCGCAAGCCUGAUCCAGCCAUACCGCGUGGGUGAAGAAGGCCUUCGGGUUGUAAAGCCCUUUUGUUGGGAAAGAAAAGCAGCAGGUUAAUACCCCGCUGUUCUGACGGUACCCAAAGAAUAAGCACCGGCUAACUUCGUG
rnacentral:rRNA from 1 species